ACCUGGCUUAUUUUUUUUUUAUUUUUUUUUUUUUGUGAUGGAGUCUUGCUCUUUCACCCAGGCUGGACUGCAGUGGCGCUAACUAGGCUCACUGCAAGCUCCUCCUCCCAGGCUCACGCCAUUCUCCUGCCUCAGACUGCCUAGUAGCUGGGACUACAGGUGCUCGCCACCGCGCCUGGCUCAUUUUUUGUAUUUUUAGUAGAGACAGAGUUUCAUCAUGUUAGCCAGGAUGGUCUCGAUCUCCUGACCUCGUGAUCCGCCUGCCUCGGCCUCCCAAAGUGCUGGGAUUACAGACGUGAGCCACCGCGCCCACCUUUUUGUAUUUUUAGUAGAGACCGGGCAUGUGAACUGCCUUGAAUAAAUAUAGGUAACAACUUCUUCAAACAGGCUUUUUUGUGAGUUUCAAUCCUGCACAACUCCCAAGACACGGUUCCUCGGCUCCACAACUCUUGAUAAAUAAAGGUAGCAAAAGGUUUCUAUUACCAUCUACCCAACAGCAUGAGCAUUUCGCAGACUCCGUCUCAAGAAAAAAAAAGAAUUUAAAUAACAGGCUGAACUAGAGGCCAACAAUAGCCAGCAAAUAACCUUCUAUAAGAUUAAAAACACAAAAGUGUAUAUCCUAAUACCAUUGUAUUAUUUGUUUUCAUGAGUUCUUUUAAUUUUUGCUUUGUCUGUACAUCACAGUUACAGCUACAGACCAGGUAGAGAAUAUUACGCAUGUUCUGACUGCCACCCACCUGAAAGACGUACUAGUCAUUUAUCCUAUUUCAUGUUGUGAAGGAACAGCUACAGCAGCUCUAAAUACUGUAACAAUUUAAUUUUGCCAACAUCCAACUUAACAGUCGUAAUAGAGGCUUUUACCAGCACAAUGACCCCUAUUCGUAGUCAUUCUGCCGAAAACACACGGGCCUUUCAAAAGGGAAGAGCAAGGUGAGGAGAAAGGUGACCCACAGAAGGGCUUGGCUGUCAGCUCAGGCAAUGGCAUCAUUUCGGCUGGCGGCUGCCAGCUCUGGCUCUGAGCCCCUAGUUUUCACACCUCAGCUUCCCAAGUAGCUGGCACCACAGGCACAUACCACCAUGCCCGGCUAAUUUUUUUUCUUUUUUUUAGAGACAGGGUCUUGCUAAUGUUGUCCAGGCUGGCCUUGAACUCCUGGAUUCGCCUAGGACAGGAAUUCCCAGUGCUCAGGUUUAAAGGAAAUACAAUGUUUCUAUCACCGGUACAUGAAGGUGCCCCUUUCUCUGCAUUCCUACCAACACUGGAUAUUUUCCACCUUUGGGACUUUCAGCAGUUCUGGAGCCAGCCCAUUUUACAGCGGGGAUAAUUGAGGUUUAAGGAGGGGAAAUUACUUGCCUAAGAUCUCAUGCAACUUU
rnacentral:lncRNA from 1 species